ensembl:lncRNA
ACGUGUACACUGUUAGAAAAAGAGGUACAAUACAGGUCCAUUUUUGUUCCCUAAGGUACAAACUUUGCAUAUGUACCCUUAAAAGUACAAAAAUGUAUCUUUAAGGUACAAUUGUGCACCUUUAAGGUACAAUUAUGCACCUUCCAUUGUACAUUGUGAGCUUUUCGAGGUGUAAGGUACAUAUUUGUCCCUUACAUAUUUGUACCUUAAUGUUUAAAUAUAAAAUAGCAGGAAUUAGUGGAUGCUGAAAAUGUCAUCUCUCAAUAUAGAAACACAAGUUAACCUAUACUAUCAAACUCAAUAAUUGUCAAACUAAAUUAACUGUAAAGUUCUGAGAUAUGGGCAAAAUAAAUCAGAAUGUGUAAAGUUUUGAGAUAUGGGCAAAAUAAAUCAGAAUGUUUUUUUGUUUUUGUUUUUGUUUUUUUGUGAAGUGUCCCUUUGAAUCAUUUUUAAUCAUGUUAAUGAGGAUUAUGUAAUCAUUUAUAUUCACAAACAGUAUUGAAGAAUUUGAUUUUCAAACCCUUUACCCUAUUUAUAUUAGAAUAAAACAGACAAAUAAUUGUUAACGCUUUAAGUUGUGUUCUAUUGAAAGGAUCUAGCUACAGGCUAACCAGAGUUUGACUCGGCGGAAGCAUAAAUAUUGCAGCGCGGAAGGAUACAUGAGUGAAUCGACAGUGAUCCAAGUGUCAAUCAAAGGUGGGAGGAUGGCGCUUCGACAUUUAUCCACGUAGGAUUUAAUCACCGGAGUUAUUUAAUUUUGGGAUAGAGGUCACUGAAGAGGAGAGAAGUAAAUUCAAAGGCAGAUGACAAGCUCAACCGCUCAACAGGUAGAUGGUUAUCUGUCUGAAGUCCCCAUACCCAGAAGUGAUAACCCUCUUGCCUAUGGAGAAAUAAUGAAGUUGACGGAGAAGCAGUGGACUAUGGAUUGACUGAGAGGAUGAUUUCAUGCCUCUUUGAAGGAUCGUUUAAGAAGCAAGCCAAAUUCAACCGAUUUGUUCAGCAGUUCUAAACAUACACACAGAUUGGGCAUUAUGUGGAAAACUAUUAAUUCCUCUUUCUUUCUGUCAUCACUAUUACGCCUACUUGGUG